rnacentral:hammerhead_ribozyme from 2 species
AUCCAGCUGACGAGUCUCAAAUAGGACGAAACGAGCUUCCUGGGU